rnacentral:rRNA from 1 species
GACGAACGCUGGCGGCGUGCUUAACACAUGCAAGUCGAACGAAGUGGAGAACGGGUGAGUAAUACGUGGGUAACCUGCCCUCCUUUUUGGGAUAAGCCUUGGAAACGGGGUCUAAUACCGCAUAAAGGGGGUUGGGCUCGGGGCCUAUCAGCUUGUUGGUGGGGUGAUGGCCUACCAAGGCGGUGACGGGUAGCCGGCCUGAGAGGGUGACCGGCAACAUGGGGACUGGGAUACGGCCCAGAGUCUGACGGGAGGCAGCAGUGGGCGAGAUUGCACAAUGGGCGAAAGCCUGAUGCAGCGACGCCGCGUGGGGGAUGAAGGCUUUCGGGUUGUAAACCUCUUUCGCGAUCGAAAGGGUAGGUGGAGAAGAAGCGCCGGCUAACUACGUGCCAGCAGCCGCGGUAAUAC